GGAAUAUUGGACAAUGGGCGAAAGCCUGAUCCAGCAAUGCCGCGUGAGUGAUGAAGGCCUUAGGGUUGUAAAGCUCUUUUACCCGGGAUGAUAAUGACAGUACCGGGAGAAUAAGCUCCGGCUAACUCCGUGCCAGCAGCCGCGGUAAUACGGAGGGAGCUAGCGUUAUUCGGAAUUACUGGGCGUAAAGCGCACGUAGGCGGCUUUGUAAGUAAGAGGUGAAAGCCCAGAGCUCAACUCUGGAAUUGCCUUUUAGACUGCAUCGCUUGAAUCAUGGAGAGGUCAGUGGAAUUCCGAGUGUAGAGGUGAAAUUCGUAGAUAUUCGGAAGAACACCAGUGGCGAAGGCGGCUGACUGGACAUGUAUUGACGCUGAGGUGCGAAAGCGUGGGGAGCAAACAGGAUUAGAUACCCCUG
rnacentral:rRNA from 1 species